ensembl:snoRNA Small nucleolar RNA SNORD66
CUUCAAUGAUGACUUUUGUUUUGUGCCACGUGUCUGGGCCACUGAGUAUCUAUGAUGGUUUUGAGGAUCUGAAGAAG